rnacentral:rRNA from 1 species
AUACGGAGGAUGCAAGCGUUAUCCGGAUUUAUUGGGUUUAAAGGGUGCGUAGGCGGAUGAUUAAGCGUGAGGUGAAAUGCCACUGCUCAACAGUGGAACUGCCUCGCGAACUGGUUGUCUUGAAUGCUCCUGCCGUGGGAGGAAUGUGUGGUGUAGCGGUGAAAUGCAUAGAGAUCACACAGAACACCGAUUGCGAAGGCAUCUCACGAAGGGUUGAUUGACGCUGAGGCACGAAAGCGUGGGGAUCAAACAGGAUUAGAUACCCUGGUAGUCCACGCAGUAAACGAUGAUGGCUAACCGCUGGUUUUUUCGGAUCAGUGGCCAAGCGAAAGCGAUAAGCCAUCCACCUGGGGAGUACGACCGCAAGGUUGAAACUCAAAUGAAUUGGCGGGG